rnacentral:lncRNA from 1 species
ACACACCCGCCCUGUUCCCACGGACACGGGCAGUGAGGGCAGGGACCUCGGGCAGCAUCAGGGGCCAGCCCUGCCAGGGCACCAGAGGGCACACACCUUCCCAGAGGGCACACACCUUCCCAGAGGGCACACACCUUCCCAGAGGGCACAGUCCUUCCAGGAGGGCACAGCCUUCCCAGAGGGUACAGUCCUUCCCAGAGGGCACAGCCUUCCCAGAGGGCACAGUCCUUCCCAGAGGGCACAGUCCUUCCCAGAGGGCACAGUCCUUCCAGGAGGGCACGGGCCUUUCCAGAGGGUACACACCACAUCACUCUCCCGCCAAAAUUAAUAGCAGCAAAUGCUCUCACCCCCCCACACGAAUUCCGGACUCCUUGAGCAGGACCCUCCCUGUGCCCACACGAAGCGUGA